UUUCCGUAGGUGAACCUGCGGAAGGAUCAUUAUUGUAUAACCGAGGUGCGAGGGCUUUCGCUGACCCGAAAGUUCGUGCACGCCCGAGUGCCCUCACACACAUCCAUCUCACCCCUAUGUGCACCACCGCGUGGGUCCCCCUUUGGCUUGUUCGGAGGGGGGCUUACGUUUUCACACAAACUUUGUAUGCAGUGUAGAAUGUAUUUUUUGUUUUUGCGAUCACGCAAUCAAUACAACUUUCAACAACGGAUCUCUUGGCUCUC
rnacentral:misc_RNA from 1 species